AUGAGUCAUUUUUCCAUAGGAAUGAGGAGAGAAAAUAGAGGAAGAGAUGGCAACACUGAAGAAGGAAAACAGGCGCCCGGUAGCAGCUGCCAAAGGGAUGUGCCAGCGUCCCAACAAACAGCUUGGAACUUCCAGCAGGCAGAGAUGGCAACACUGAAGAAUAGUCAUAGCAGCAGUACGUAUCUCCUCAAUUCAUGUGAGUUCACUGAGGACCUCAUAACAUUAUUGAAUAUCAGUAAACUUGCAGGGUAUAGUGAAUCACCCACCCCAGCCAAACACAGCAUGCAAAGGCUAGGUAGGCGUAGAGGAAGCUGA
rnacentral:rRNA from 1 species